rnacentral:lncRNA from 1 species
CUGUGUACAAGUGCAUUAAUUAAAGGGACAGAGCUUUGGGGGGUUCUGGGAACCUCAGUUUGGCUGAAAGACUGGCAAGCUGAUUGACACAGGGGUGGAGAUACACCAAAAUAUUCAGUACUGUGCUGAGAUGAUGCACAUGAUGCAACUAGACCCAAUUCCAGAAAAUCUUGACCAACAGUCAAGAAAAAAUAGUGUGAAGUUACCACACUGUCUGAGUUCUGCCUUACCUAUGAACUACUCUUGAUUAUAAAGCACGCUAAUACAUUAGUCUUCACGGAAGCAUGGAGUAGGAUAGGGGGAACAACUAACACAGGAAAAUACUUGGAUUUCAGUGAGGCUGUCUGUUAAUAAAGAUGAGGGAAAGGGAUUAUCUACUAUGAGAAACAUAAGCAAUAUAAGAUAAUAAGGGGUUGGAGUAAAAAUAUUACCAGUACUUAGAGUAUUAAAUGUUUGUUGACAUUUAUGAUAGAAGGACUCUUAAAUAGACAGACAUCUGUAUAAUGGAUGUCCUUCAUUUCUUUUAUUUCAGUAAGCAAAGUUACCUCUUGUGAAAUUCUUAAUAAAAAAGAAACAUUAUAUUAAAACUUCCAGUUAUAUGCCCCAAUGCAAUACACACACACACACACACACACACAGAGAGUAUAUAAAUACAGAAAAUCUGGGAUUUGGCUCAAGGCGCCAAGGAGUCUUAUAAUAAACAAUUUGAAGAAUCCGAGAAUGAGGCAAGACUGAGAAGAUAUGCGCUGUGGAAUCUCCCAGGACAGAAGGCAUAGGUUGCAGCAACAAACUCAUUUGUUAUAUUUUGUCUAUUCUAUAUUUUCCUCUAUUGCUUCCUCUGCAAGUGGUUAAGCUAUAUUACUGUGAGUGGGAGGAACUGGGAUAAAAUUAAACAAGGUAUGUAUAUUUAGAGCUUUCUAUAAUGUUUGUCAACGUGCCUCUCUCUGCAGCUGUCAUGAAACAGAGCAUUGCUGGAUUCCCAUGACUUAUGGUUUGCCUAGUGCAAAUAAAAUUUCCUCAUGUUCUUUCAGGCAAACUGUGUUUAUCUUAAAUUACCCUGGUACACAUUGAAACGGGGAAGAACUGGAUGACUCAAAAGACUGAGGCAAUGUAGUAUAGAGAUAAAAUAAUGACUACAGUAAUACUACCUAUGUUGUGUUUAGAAGAAUCCCUGCACUUAAUAAGCACUAUGUAUGUGUGUGAUAAAUUUAAAAUAUACUUAAUGGAUAUCUUAAGUACAGAUUAUUACUUCUGGAAAUUUAGCUAGGGGGAAAAGAAGAGAGUUAGUGUUUGCAUGGGUAGGGGAAAGGGGGAACACAGGAAUUACUUAUUUAUAUAUUAUUUGAUUUUAUUUCAAGAUAGGAGACAUAAACAUGUUUAUAAACCGAGGUGAAUAAUUCAUUGGAAGGAGUGCAGAUUCUGAGGUCCCACUCACAGAUACUGAAUUUGAAAUUCUGAACAUGGGUAAAAUUCAUCUAUCUAUCUAUAUCUAUCUACAUAUUUGUAUUACAUAUUACGUACGCAUAUAUACAUAUACAUAUAUUUAUAUAUACAUUUCUACAAGAUUCUGAUGACUUAAUAAGGCCUACCUUGACUAUAUUGCUCAUCCACCACAGUCCCAACUCCUCUUGUCCUCUUAUUUUAUUUUUUCCAUAGUAUUUAUCAUGUUCUAACAUCCUACGUAGUUUAUCCAUUUAUUGUUUUUAGUCUAUUGUCUUUCUUUUCCCACUAGUACUUAAGUACUAAGAAGGCACUUUUUUCACUGCUAUAUUCUCCACACCUAGAAUAGUUCCUAGCUAUAGUAGAUUCUCAAUAAAUAUUUGUUAAAUACAUAAAUCAGGAAAGUGUAGGAACCACUUUCCCAGUGGAGGUAGAAAUAUAGGAGCCUAAACUGUGGCUAGGA